GACGAACGCUGGCGGCGUGCUUAACACAUGCAAGUCGAACGAUGAAGCCUAGCUUGCUAGGUGGAUUAGUGGCGAACGGGUGAGUAAUACGUGAGUAACCUACCUUUAACUCUGGGAUAAGCCUGGGAAACUGGGUCUAAUACCGGAUACGACCAAUCUCCGCAUGGGGUGUUGGUGGAAAGCGUUAUGUAGUGGUUAUAGAUGGGCUCACGGCCUAUCAGCUUGUUGGUGAGGUAACGGCUCACCAAGGCGACGACGGGUAGCCGGCCUGAGAGGGUGACCGGCCACACUGGGACUGAGACACGGCCCAGACUCCUACGGGAGGCAGCAGUGGGGAAUAUUGCACAAUGGGCGCAAGCCUGAUGCAGCGACGCCGCGUGAGGGAUGACGGCCUUCGGGUUGUAAACCUCUGUUAGCAGGGAAGAAGAGAGAUUGACGGUACCUGCAGAGAAAGCGCCGGCUAACUACGUGCCAGCAGCCGCGGUAAUACGUANGGCGCGAGCGUUGUCCGGAAUUAUUGGGCGUAAAGAGCUUGUAGCGGUUUGUCGCGUCUGCUGUGAAAGGCCGGAGCUUAACUCCGUGUAUUGCAGUGGGUACGGGCAGACUAGAGUGCAGUAGGGGAGACUGGAAUUCCUGGUGUAGCGGUGGAAUGCGCAGAUAUCAGGAGGAACACCGAUGGCGAAGGCAGGUCUCUGGGCUGUAACUGACGCUGAGAAGCGAAAGCAUGGGGAGCGAACAGGAUUAGAUACCCUGGUAGUCCAUGCCGUAAACGUUGGGCACUAGGUGUGGGGAACAUUCCACGUUUUCCGCGCCGUAGCUAACGCAUUAAGUGCCCCGCCUGGGGAGUACGGCCGCAAGGCUAAAACUCAAAGAAAUUGACGGGGGCCCGCACAAGCGGCGGAGCAUGCGGAUUAAUUCGAUGCAACGCGAAGAACCUUACCAAGGCUUGACAUAUACUGGACCGCAUCAGAGAUGGUGUUUCCCUUCGGGGCUGGUAUACAGGUGGUGCAUGGUUGUCGUCAGCUCGUGUCGUGAGAUGUUGGGUUAAGUCCCGCAACGAGCGCAACCCUCGUUCUAUGUUGCCAGCACGUUAUGGUGGGGACUCAUAGGAGACUGCCGGGGUCAACUCGGAGGAAGGUGGGGAUGACGUCAAAUCAUCAUGCCCCUUAUGUCUUGGGCUUCACGCAUGCUACAAUGGCCGGUACAGAGGGUUGCGAUACUGUGAGGUGGAGCUAAUCCCUAAAAGCCGGUCUCAGUUCGGAUUGGGGUCUGCAACUCGACCCCAUGAAGUCGGAGUCGCUAGUAAUCGCAGAUCAGCAACGCUGCGGUGAAUACGUUCCCGGGCCU
rnacentral:rRNA from 1 species